AGGACGAACGCUGGCGGCGUGCUUAACACAUGCAAGUCGAGCGGUAAGGCCUUUCGGGGUACACGAGCGGCGAACGGGUGAGUAACACGUGGGUGAUCUGCCCUGCACUCUGGGAUAAGCC
rnacentral:rRNA from 1 species